rnacentral:rRNA from 1 species
GACGUAGGGCGCGAGCGUUGUCCGGAUUUAUUGGGCGUAAAGAGCUCGUAGGCGGCUCGUUGCGUCGGCUGUGAAAACCCGCAGCUCAACUGUGGGCUUGCAGCCGAUACGGGCGGGCUAGGAUUCGGUAGGGGAGAAUGGAAUUCCUGGUGUAGCGGUGAAAUGCGCAGAUAUCAGGAAGAACACCCGUGGCGAAGGCGGUUCUCUGGGACGGUACUGACGCUGAGACGCGAAAGCGUGGGGAGCGAACAGG